UUUAAUAAAUGUACACAACUAAUUUUAAAAAGUUCCAUGUUUAUUUACUUUUAUAAUUUAAGUGCUGUGUACCCGUAACCAAAAGAACUGAAAUAAAUUAAGCUUUUUUCCUAAUGAUAAACAUUAUACAUGAAUUUAACCAAAACAUACAAUCUUAUGAUUUAUAACAUAAUACUUUUAUAUUUAUCGGUAUUAAAUGUAUUUGAAUAAUAGCUAUAAUGGUGUAUUUGAAGGCAUCGACGUUCAUGGAGUGGUGAGAGUAAUAGGAGACAUUUUCCCAGAUUUCCCUACUUAAAUUCAGUGGCAAGGCAAAUUCAAAAUUUAUGAGAGGCAAAUAUUUUGGUGGACAACCCAUUCAUUUAUCGUACCAUACCUACUCAACAGCUAUAAUUGUUAUAAAAACAUCUCACUCCUUGAAUUUUUUUUAAGACCAUCAGAGCAAAUAUAAGGUGAAACUUGAGGCUUUCUGAAUCUAUUUACGAAUAAGAAUCCAUUUUUUUUUUUUAAAUAUUCACGUCCUGCUGUCACAGUUAAAUAAUAUAUACUAUAUAUAUUUGAAGUCUACAUAUAUAGGUACAUAAUGUAGAUAUAGAUAUAGAUAUCAAUAGUUUCAAAUUUAAUAACUUAUUAAUUAUAUAUAAUAGUUAUUCCAAAUCAGUAGUACAGAAUUGCGGGUGGAGAACCAUUUUAGAAAUACUUCAAAAAGAUAUACAUAACUCGCACAAUGGGUGAGCCACUAUUGUAGGUGAGAAGUUGGGAAGGUUGGGGAUAUAGAGGGGAAUUUAAUAUGUAUCUGUACGGAACUAAUUAACCUUUGCUAAUGAAAAACAAUUCUGAUCGAAGUUUGGUUAUACAUGUUUUGAAAGGCUGUAAUAUUUUUAAUUUUUGCCAAAAUUUGGUGUUAAAAUUCUUAUAAAAAAAAAUUACAUUACAC